rnacentral:rRNA from 1 species
UACAGAGGUCUCAAGCGUUGUUCGGAUUCAUUGGGCGUAAAGGGCGUGUAGGCGGUCUGUUAAGUCAUGUGUGAAAUCCCUCGGCUCAACCGGGGAACGACGCAUGAAACUGACAGCUAGAGUACCAAAGAGGGGGGUGGGAAUUCCCGGUGUAGCGGUGAAAUGACGUAGAUAUCGGGAGGAACACCGGUGGCGAAGGCGGCUCUCUAGUACGGUACUGACGCUGAGACGCGAAAGCGUGGGGAGCGAACAGG